rnacentral:rRNA from 1 species
AGUGAACGCUGGCGGCAGGCCUAACACAUGCAAGUCGAACGGCAGCACAGAGGAGCUUGCUCCUUGGGUGGCGAGUGGCGGACGGGUGAGGAAUACAUCGGAAUCUGCCUAUUUGUGGGGGAUAACGUAGGGAAACUUACGCUAAUACCGCAUACGACCUACGGGUGAAAGCGGAGGACCUUCGGGCUUCGCGCAGAUAGAUGAGCCGAUGUCGGAUUAGCUAGUUGGCGGGGUAAAGGCCCACCAAGGCGACGAUCCGUAGCUGGUCUGAGGGGAGGAUCAGCCACACGGGAACUGAGACACGGUCCAGACUCCUACGGGAGGCAGCAGUGGGGAAUAUUGGACAAUGGGCGCAAGCCUGAUCCAGCCAUGCCGCGUGGGUGAAGAAGGCCUUCGGGUUGUAAAGCCCUUUUGUUGGGAAAGAAAAGCCAGGAGGUGAAUAGCCUCUUGGACUGACGGUACCCUCAAAGGAAGCACCGGCUAACUUCGUGCCAGCCGCCGCAGUAACAC